UUGGCAUAAUUAAAAACAUUGAUAAGUUUCAGUUAAAGCUAAUCAAUUUAGCACCAUAUCGGAAGGUAAGCAAUUAGCAAUCGGCUAGAUAAGAUGCAUUUCUUGAGGCCAGGAAAGUUCUGGUAGACUUUUAAUAGAUGGUCUACAUAAUACCCACUCGACUGCCUAAAGGUGACCCACAUAAGUCGCCACAUCUCGCCAAGGUUUUGAUUUGAUUCAGGGUCAAGAGAGAGACACCGCUUGACGCAUAUAUACAUACUUGACUACAUGGCGUCCGUGUCACAAAAAACACAUCAUUAUGUAAUUUUGACCCACCUGCGUUCCUUUGCCGGAGCCCGGCGGCCCCAGGAGAAUGGCGUUGAUCCCGAUGUUCUCCGGCUCAUAUCGCUCCACUGGUACUGCUGCAUUCGGCGCCAUCGUUAACUGUGUGCUCGACUGAUUAUUCGGGAAUCCUCCUAAUUCAUAGCCAAACGGAGCCAGAAA